UGUAGAUACCAAGAAAGUUGUUUCUCGUGGUUAAGAAUUAUUUUCACAGUUGUUGUUUGUAUGUCACAGGUUGAAGAACAUCCGGGUCAAAGGACAGUGGCAACAUGGAAGAUUUGAUGUGGAAAUGUGUUCACAUACACACCUGCUCACUAAAGAACACUUCAUCAGUCAUGAGGCGAUGCUGGGAGAACUGUGUAAUCUGAUCUAAUGGCAUAAACACAGAGAGAAGUCACAGAUUAAAGAGUGGAACCUGUGUGUCAACAGCUGUCAUGAUCGCGACCUCCGUGAGUAACCCAGCUGUGCUUGGCACGCUUGCGGAUUUGUGUUAAAUCACAUUUUCUCCUUGAUGUUUUUUUCUCUGGAAUGAAUGGGAAUACUGCAACUUAAACAAUGUUCACUGGGAUGAGAUUUCAUUGAUCCUUACACACGUUUUGCUUUUUCAGAUGCUUCAGCGCAUGAUGUUUCUGCAGGACUAACAGAAUUGACUAGGACAAGUGUAAGAGGUAAUGCAUUGCAAGUAAUGUGCAUUAUGUGAGUGAAGUGUUGGGAAAUAAAAAGCGUAAUAGUGUUCCUGUACUGAACAGUAGAGCAUGGCCUAGCAACAUCUAGGUCAUGGGUUCGAUUCCCAGGAAAUACGUGAACUGAUCAUAUGUAUCUGAAAUGCAAUGCUAGUUGUUUUGGAUGAGGCUGCAUUUAUUAAAUACUUCUAUUUAAUUUUUUUUUUUUUAAGUGUUGCAGCUUAAUAUUUGUUUAUUUUUUUUUUUUUUUCUUUUGUAACAUUACAAAUGUCUUUUCUGUCACUUUUUAUCAAUUUAAUGCAUGCUUGCUGAAUGAAGGUGUCUGCUAAAUGCAUAAAUUUAAUAAAAAAACUUACUGACUCCAAACUUUUAAAGGGUAGUGUAUUUUGUUAAAAUAGCAGUUAACUUCUAUGUAAUCUUAUUUAUGAAAAAACAUUUUUUGCCCAUAUUCAGUCCCAGAUGUUAUCCGUGGAUGUUUUUUUGUUUUGUUUUUUUUUUCUUUACAUUUUCUUAAGCUAAUUUAGUAUGAAAUACUUUGUAGGAAAACUAGCUAAAAAUAGAUUAAUGCAAACAAUUUUGGUCUCUUCCUUUGGAUGUAAACAACAAACAAAAAAUUGCAUGC
rnacentral:lncRNA from 1 species